GUACGAUGUCUCUGCAAUUUAAAUAUAAACACAUUUUUCUGAGUGUUCUUUAGCCAAUAUGAUUCGUGUGUGAUUGAAUUAAAUAGUCCCAAACCCCAAAAGACAAUUUCUUAUAAUAUGUCAUUAUUUUUCCCCCAGACAGGAGGGGCUAAUCUCUACGAAAUCCAAAUCCAAAUGCAUACAGCUAUUGGGUACGAUGUCUCUGCAACUUGAUGGCAUGAUUUGGUGGAUGAUGGAAGGUCUCUGAACGUUUGCU